rnacentral:rRNA from 1 species
GCAAACGGGUUAGUAACACAUAGGAAUCUGCCCCAAAGUCGUGAAUAACCUGGAGAAAUCCAGAAUAAUACACGAUGUGCUCUACGGAGUAAAGCUUUAGUGCUUUGGGAGGAGCCUGUGUCCUAUCAGCUUGUUGGUGAGGUAAUAGCUCACCAAGGCUAUGACGGGUAGGGGGUGUGAGAGCAUGACCCCCAACAUUGGAACUGAGACACUGUCCAAACUCCUACGGGAGGCUGCAGUCGAGAAUAUUCCACAAUGGGCGAAAGCCUGAUGGAGCGACGCCGCGUGCAGGAUGAAGGCCCUAGGGUCGUAAACUGCUUUUAUUGAGGAACAAUUUUUUGAGCGUACUCAAUGAAUAAGGGGUUACUAACUCUGUGCCAGCAGUAGCGGUAAUACAGAGACCCCGAGCGUUAUCCGGAUUUAUUGGGCGUAAAGCGCAUGUAGGCGGAUAUACUAGUCAAAUGCCAAAUCUCCGAGCUCAACUCGGAAACUGCAUUUGAAACGGUAUAUCUAGAGAAAGUGAGAGACCAGUGGAAUUCAUGGUGUAGUAGUGAAAUGCGUUGAUAUCAUGAGGAACACCUAAUGCGAAGGCAUCUGGUUGGCACUUUUCUGACGCUGAGAUGCGAAAGCGUGGGGAGCGAAGGGGAUUAGAUACCCCCGUAGUCCACGCCGUAAACGAUG